rnacentral:tRNA from 1 species
GGGCCCUUAGCUCAGGUGGUUAGAGCAGCGGACUCAUAAUCCGUAGGUCGCAGGUUCAAAUCCUGCAGGGCCCA